rnacentral:rRNA from 1 species
AUUGAACGCCGGCGGCAGGCUUAACACAUGCAAGUCGAGCGGAGAUGAGGUGCUUGCACCUUAUCUUAGCGGCGGACGGGUGAGUAAUGCUUAGGAAUCUGCCUAUUAGUGGGGGACAACAUUCCGAAAGGAAUGCUAAUACCGCAUACGUCCUACGGGAGAAAGCAGGGGAUCUUCGGACCUUGCGCUGAUAGAUGAGCCUAAGUCGGAUUAGCUAGUUGGUGGGGUAAAGGCCUACCAAGGCGACGAUCUGUAGCGGGUCUGAGAGGAUGGUCCGCCACACUGGGACUGAGACACGGCCCAGACUCCUACGGGAGGCAGCAGUGGGGAAUAUUGGACAAUGGGCGGAAGCCUGAUCCAGCCAUGCCGCGUGUGUGAAGAAGGCCUUUUGGUUGUAAAGCACUUUAAGCGAGGAGGAGGCUACCUAGAUUAAUACUCUGGGAUAGUGGACGUUACUCGCAGAAUAAGCACCGGCUAACUCUGUGCCAGCAGCCGCAGUAAUAC